GCCUAUAGUCUAGUGGGUAAGGUACAUGACUGGGAUCCAUGAGGUUGAUGGUUCAAGUCCCAGUCCAGCCA
rnacentral:tRNA from 1 species